GGUCUAUUAAAAGAGACAUCUCCAAGCUAUCGUCACAUUACGCAAUCUAUUCACUGAUGAUACGAUAUCGGUACAUAUCCUUUGUUACUAUAAGAGAAAUUGUUCGAAAUAGCAGGCUAGAGAGAUAUAACAUCAAAGAUUAUUUUCCACCUGAACGACAAACUGACAAGUAUUUUUCACUAAAAUAAAGUGCUUGACAAAGAUAA